rnacentral:rRNA from 1 species
GUGAGAGACCACUCUGGAGGAGCUAGAAUUCUAAUGGCGUUCCUUGAAGCAGGACGCUUGACAGUUUCAGGUGGGCAGUUUGACUGGGGCGGUCACCUCCUAAAAGGUAACGGAGGUGUGCAAAGGUUCCCUCAGGCUGGACGGAAAUCAGCCGUAGAGUGUAAAGGCAGAAGGGAGCUUGACUGCAAGACCUACAAGUCGAGCAGGGGCGAAAGCCGGCCUUAGUGAUCCGACGGUUCCGUGUGGAAGGGCCGUCGCUCAACGGAUAAAAGUUACUCUAGGGAUAACAGGCUGAA